AUGAACGCUGGCGGCGUGCCUAAUACAUACAAGUCGAGCGAACAGACGAGGAGCUUGCUCCUCUGACGUUAGCGGCGGACGGGUGAGUAACACGUGGAUAACCUACCUAUAAGACUGGGAUAACUUCGGGAAACCGGAGCUAAUACCGGAUAAUAUAUUGAACCGCAUGGUUCAAUAGUGAAAGACGGUUUUGCUGUCACUUAUAGAUGGAUCCGCGCCGCAUUAGCUAGUUGGUAAGGUAACGGCUUACCAAGGCAACGAUGCGUAGCCGACCUGAGAGGGUGAUCGGCCACACUGGAACUGAGACACGGUCCAGACUCCUACGGGAGGCAGCAGUAGGGAAUCUUCCGCAAAGGGCGAAAGCCUGACGGAGCAACGCCGCGUGAGUGAUGAAGGUCUUCGGAUCGUAAAACUCUGUUAUUAGGGAAGAACAAAUGUGUAAGUAACUAUGCACGUCUUGACGGUACCUAAUCAGAAAGCCACGGCUAACUACGUG
rnacentral:rRNA from 1 species